CAGCUGUCUGCAAGCCAGGAGAAGAAGCUUCAUGAGAACCCACCCAUAGUGACACCCUGAUCUUAGACUUUCAACCUCCACAACUGUGAGAAAAUAAAUGUCUGCUGGCUAUCCUCGCAGACUACCCUCUUCCCCAAAUCUCUUUGGACUUCUCUAUAACCCAUCAACUAAAAGAUUCACAUCUGGAUCACCAGAAGCCUCCAAAGACCCAACUCGAAUACAAGAGACAGGAUCUACAGACAUACCUUGGAAAUAUUGCAGGUGUUAUUCCAGGCCACUGCAAUGAAGUGGGUAGCCCGAUAAAGUGAGUCAAAUGAA